UACGGAGGGCGCAAGCGUUGUUUGGAAUCACUGGGCGUAAAGCGCGUGUAGGCGGCUUGGCAAGUCGGGUGUGAAAUCCCGAGGCUCAACCUCGGAACUGCACUCGAAACUGCUUGGCUCGAGUCCCGGAGAGGGUGGCGGAAUUCCCGGUGUAGGGGUGAAAUCCGUAGAUAUCGGGAGGAACAUCAGUGGCGAAGGCGGCCACCUGGACGGUGACUGACGCUGAGACGCGAAAGCGUGGGGAGCAAACAGG
rnacentral:rRNA from 1 species